rnacentral:rRNA from 1 species
ACGAACGCUGGCGGCGUGCUUAACACAUGCAAGUCGAACGAAGAGCGAUGGAAGCUUGCUUCUAUCAAUCUUAGUGGCGAACGGGUGAGUAACGCGUAAUCAACCUGCCCUUCAGAGGGGGACAACAGUUGGAAACGACUGCUAAUACCGCAUACGAUCCAAUCUCGGCAUCGAGACUGGAUGAAAGGUGGCCUCUAUUUAUAAGCUAUCACUGAAGGAGGGGAUUGCGUCUGAUUAGCUAGUUGGAGGGGUAACGGCCCACCAAGGCGAUGAUCAGUAGCCGGUCUGAGAGGAUGAACGGCCACAUUGGGACUGAGACACGGCCCAGACUCCUACGGGAGGCAGCAGUGGGGAAUCUUCCGCAAUGGACGAAAGUCUGACGGAGCAACGCCGCGUGAGUGAUGACGGCCUUCGGGUUGUAAAGCUCUGUUAAUCGGGACGAAUGGUUCUUGUGCGAAUAGUGCGAGGAUUUGACGGUACCGGAAUAGAAAGCCACGGCUAACUACGUGCCAGCAGCCGCGGUAAUACGUAGGUGGCAAGCGUUGUCCGGAAUUAUUGGGCGUAAAGCGCGCGCAGGCGGAUUGGUCAGUCUGUCUUAAAAGUUCGGGGCUUAACCCCGUGAUGGGAUGGAAACUGCCAAUCUAGAGUAUCGG